rnacentral:lncRNA from 1 species
AAGAAUUAUAAACACUCAUUGACCUCUCGGAUUGGCUUUGUUUAGCCAUCAGCACUCCUUUGAGACCAUCCAAGUUUUGACCCAACAGUUGGUUCCUUCUCCAUCGCUGAGUACUUUCUACGGUGUAUAAGGACCACAGCUCAUCUCUUCAUCUGCUGGAUGACAACUGGCUGAGUCCUAGCUGGCAGCAAUGUUGGCAAGGUUGCUUCUGGGCCCAUGGCUAUCAUCUGCGGGUUACUGCAGAGCAGUCCUGAGAACCUGGGUCAGGAUCCUCUCUUCCUCCAGAGAGAUGCUGUGCAGUCGCCAUCUCAGAGAAAACCUCCUCCCGCUCCCCACAGGGCUGAACAUAGACACACACGGGAAGGACAUACCCAAGGGACAGCCUGUGCAGAUGUGCCCAUGCCAGUGUGAGGCUCACCAUCUCGCUGUCAUUCCUCUGUGUCCACAUGCUGACCAAGAUGAAAUCCACUCAGAACCUGCACUUGGAGAUACUGAUAGGAUCAAUGGGGUUUCCCAGACACAGUUGUCUUUCUUCCCACCCAGCUGAGCUCAUCUCCUGUCCAACAGCUCUUCUGUCUCUGGUGUCACCUUUGAGACAUCAGGUUCAACUUCGCAUGUCUUAUGGAGGUAAAUCUCAAGGGGUUGUCUAGGGGCUUCUGUAUGCUCUCACCAGGGAGACAUCAGGGGAAGAGGCUGGGAGGCUCAAGCCAGUUGAUUGAUCUCCAUCCUGUCUGACUCUGUGGUCCCUCACGUCAUCUGUGGAUGUGAAGGAAGGAUACAACACCGCUGUAUGGAGACCAGGACUGUGGGGACAGAGGAGAAGGUAUAGCUGCCCACCGUCCUCCAGAGCCCAUCUUACUUACCUUUUGACCUGCCUCCAGAGCUGCCCACAGCAGAUCCCAAGCAGGCAGAGUGGAAAUCAGGAGUAUUUUGCUGCCUGACCUGACCCUGACCUAGGAUCAGGGUUGGAUAAGGACCCAAUGGGACGAUGUUCAGGGAUGGGCAGAAAGAGGGUGUUUUGAACACUGUAAUAGAUCAAUGGCUCUCGACCUUCCUACUGCUGUAACCCAUUAAUAAAUACAGUUCCUAAUGUUGUGGUGAAC